rnacentral:rRNA from 1 species
CAGUCGCCGCGGUAAUACAGAGGGUGCAAGCGUUAAUCGGAUUUACUGGGCGUAAAGCGUGCGUAGGCGGCUUCUUAAGUCGGAUGUGAAAUCCCUGAGCUUAACUUAGGAAUUGCAUUCGAUACUGGGAAGCUAGAGUAUGGGAGAGGAUGGUAGAAUUCCAGGUGUAGCGGUGAAAUGCGUAGAGAUCUGGAGGAAUACCGAUGGCGAAGGCAGCCAUCUGGCCUAAUACUGACGCUGAGGUACGAAAGCAUGGGGAGCAAACAGGAUUAGAUACCCCAGUAGUCCCUGUCUCUUAUAC